UACGUAGGGGGCAAGCGUUGUCCGGAAUCAUUGGGCGUAAAGCGCGUGUAGGCGGUCCGGUAAGUCGGCUGUGAAAGUCCAGGGCUCAACCCUGGGAUGCCGGUCGAUACUGCCGGACUAGAGUUCGGAAGAGGCGAGUGGAAUUCCCGGUGUAGUGGUGGAAUGCGUAGAUAUCGGGAGGAACACCAGUGGCGAAGGCGGUUGCCUGGAGCUUUGCUGACGCUGAUGCGCGAAAGCGUGGGGAGCGAGUCCGG
rnacentral:rRNA from 1 species